CAUCGUUUGACCCCGGCGCUCUCUCUCUCUUCUGCCCUGGGCAGGCUUCGGCUACCACACGACUGCUGUCGGCCAGCCAUGGCCGCGCCUGGCCUCCACGCACCGAGUCGGCCUCACCUCGCCCCGGCCUCAACCCGCAAACGAUGUAGUCUACGAGUUGGUUGCCGAGCCGGUCCAGGAGCAGCAAGCAGGAGAGCAGCAAGAAGAACCAGUUGAGCAAGCUCUAGAAGAAGUUGCUAACCCGCUGACCUGCAAGGCAAGCCCCGGAGCAUAACCCCUAACUUAGAAAACCAUGCAAUGUCUGUUAUUAUGUAUUGUGCAUUUACGUUUUUAGAAGUUGUAUGGAACCUUAGUGUGCAUGAUUCUCCCUAGGUACCUAUGAGUCCUUACUAGUAUACAUAGGUCGUUACAAAUGCUUUGCUAAUUAGGAACUCGGUAGAAGUUGAGUGAUUUCAUGUCACUCGCGAAUAUAAGAUCUUGUUAUCAAUGGAAAAAGUACUUGGUAAUGUUCAA